CCUACGGGGGGCAGCAGUAGGGAAUAUUGCUCAAUGGGGGAAACCCUGAAGCAGCAACGCCGCGUGGAGGAUGAAGGUUUUCGGAUUGUAAACUCCUUUUGGUAGAGAAGAGAAUGACGGUAUCUAACGAAUAAGCACCGGCUAACUCCGUGCCAGCAGCCGCGGUAAUACGGAGGGUGCAAGCGUUACUCGGAAUCACUGGGCGUAAAGAGCGCGUAGGCGGGAUAGCAAGUCAGAUGUGAAAUCCUAGGGCUUAACCAUAGAACUGCAUUUGAAACUGUUAUUCUAGAGUAUGGGAGAGGUAGGUGGACUUCUUGGUGUAGUGGUCAACUCCGUAGAGUUCAAGAGGACUACUCAUUGCGAAGGCGACCUGCUAGAACAUAACUGCCGCUGAUGCGC
rnacentral:rRNA from 1 species